CUCCUUUGACGUUAGCGGCGGACGGGUGAGUAACACGUGGGUAACCUACCUAUAAGACUGGGAUAACUUCGGGAAACCGGAGCUAAUACCGGAUAAUAUUUCGAACCGCAUGGUUCGAUAGUGAAAGGUGGUUUUGCUAUCACUUAUAGAUGGACCCGCGCCGUAUUAGCUAGUUGGUAAGGUAACGGCUUACCAAGGCGACUAUACGUAGCCGACCUAAGAGGGUGAUCGGCCACACUGGAACUGAGACACGGUCCAGACUCCUACGGGAGGCAGCAGCU
rnacentral:rRNA from 1 species